rnacentral:rRNA from 1 species
UACAGAGGUCCCAAGCGUUGUUCGGAUUCAUUGGGCGUAAAGGGUGCGUAGGCGGCGCGGUAAGUCGGGUGUGAAAUCUCGGAGCUUAACUCCGAAACUGCAUUCGAUACUGCCGUGCUUGAGGACUGGAGAGGAGACUGGAAUUUACGGUGUAGCGGUGAAAUGCGUAGAUAUCGUAAGGAAGACCAGUGGCGGAGGCGGGUCUCUGGACAGUUCCUGACGCUGAGGCACGAAGGCCAGGGGAGCAAACGGG